rnacentral:lncRNA from 1 species
GCGGCCGGGCCGUGUCCUGCUCGCACCCGAGCGCGCGCUCCUCCCUCGCUGGAGCCGGGGGGCCAGGGGCCGCACCCGCAGGUGGGGUGAGCAGGGAAUCCGCAGGUGGGGUGAGCAGGGAAUCCGCAGGCUUCAGCGGCGGGGGUUGACCGGCAGCUGGCGUCGAGAGGCGCUUGGGAAAUGGGGUCUAAUUUAUUUUAGACCCUGUCCCCGACUGCCGCGCCCUGACUGGCACCCCCUUUCUUAAAGGGUGGUGGGCUCGAGGUGGGUGAGGUUCCGGUUAAGCAGGAGCCUUUUCAGGUUGAAGGAGAGUGGGUCACCCACUUCCCAGGACACGGAGAUGAGAUCUCUACGACAGGGAGGCAGAUGGAGGCUUUUUUGUCCCUGAACCCUUGCCUCUGAGCAUUCCUGGGUACAGUCCCAUCCUCUCAAAAUGCACCCAGUGCAGAGGGACAACCGUAUUCGGGUCUUUUAAUACUCCAUCUUGUUUUGUUCACCACAAUUUACCCCGACCACUUGUUAGGAAGCCUCUGGCCCCAAGUGAAACGGACGCUUGAACUUGCUCCGGAUUUUUACCAGCAUCCCCAAGAUACCCAAACAGAUACAGUCCUGGCAGGGGGUUUUCAGUGAGGAACGUCUGUGACAAAGGAAAAUGUUGCCCUGUUUUGGUGAAAAGCAGAGUAUUCUUCAGGAGGAGAAGUGAUAGUUCUCCUCUUGAAGUGGG